rnacentral:rRNA from 1 species
AGGGAAUCUUGCGCAAUGGGCGAAAGCCUGACGCAGCGACGCCGCGUGAGGGACGAAGGCCUUCGGGUCGUAAACCUCUGUCCUUGGGGACGAUGAUGACGGUACCCAAGGAGGAAGCCCCGGCUAACUGCGUGCCAGCAGCCGCGGUAAUACGUAGGGGGCGAGCGUUGUCCGGAAUUAUUGGGCGUAAAGGGUGCGUAGGCGGCUUGGCGAGUCCUGUGUGAAAGGUCGCGGCUUAACCGCGGUGGGUCAUGGGAAACUGCUAAGCUUGAGUGCCGGAGAGGAUAGCGGAAUUCCACGUGUAGCGGUGAAAUGCGUAGAUAUGUGGAGGAACACCAGUGGCGAAGGCGGCUAUCUGGAAGGUAACUGACGCUGAGGCACGACAGCUGGGGGAGCAAAC